rnacentral:piRNA from 1 species
ACCUUUGGCCUUGCCUAUGGGUUGUUGGAA